GGCCGGUUAGCUCAGCUGGUUAGAGCGUGGUGCUAAUAACACCACGGUCCUGGGUUCGAUCCCCAUACUGGCCA
rnacentral:tRNA from 1 species